rnacentral:rRNA from 1 species
UAGGGAAUCUUCCACAAUGGACGCAAGUCUGAUGGAGCAACGCCGCGUGAGUGAAGAAGGUUUUCGGUUCGUAAAGCUCUGUUGUUGGUGAAGAAGGAUAGAGGCAGUAACUGGUCUUUAUUUGACGGUAAUCAACCAGAAAGUCACGGCUAACUACGUGCCAGCAGCCGCGGUAAUACGUAGGUGGCAAGCGUUGUCCGGAUUUAUUGGGCGUAAAGCGAGCGCAGGCGGAAUGAUAAGUCUGAUGUGAAAGACCACGGCUCAACCGUGGAACUGCAUCGGAAACUGUCAUUCUUGAGUGCAGAAGAGGAGAGUGGAAUUCCAUGUGUAGCGGUGGAAUGCGUAGAUAUAUGGAAGAACACCAGUGGCGAAGGCGGCUCUCUGGUCUGCAACUGACGCUGAGGCUCGAAAGCAUGGGUAGCGAACAGG